rnacentral:misc_RNA from 1 species
GCCGGUUCACUGAAUUGCCGCCGCUAGCCCGUCACACUAGUUCUUCCAGGCGUAGACGAGGAGGGAGAAGCCGUCGCCGCUCUGCAGCUGGGCCUCCUCGGCGCUGCCCCAGUCCAUGACAGUGGAGCCACUCGCCCAUGACGCGGAGGAGGACGCCACUGACGCCGAAGAGGAGGAACUGGCCUUGGCCAGCCUGCUCGCCUGCCCCCUCUUCCUCCGCUUCUCGCCACCAUUGCUGCUGCUCUCGCUCCAGUCCCCUCUCCCCCACCCACUGACGUAUCCUGGCCAGCCGCCUCCGCCUGUCCCGGCCUUGUCGAGCAGCUCCUCCUCCUUGGCGUCGGCUGGGUCACGCUCCUCGCCGGCGUCGGCGAGCUCGAAGCGGAAGACGAAGAUGGCAUGCGCGGGUGGAACCGGUGCGGCGGCGGCUGCGUCCGGGGGCGACGCGUCGCGCGCGGGGAAGAGCCAGUUGUGAAGGUCCCAGGAGACGAGGACGCGGUCGCCGCCGCCGAGGUCCACCCUCUCGGUGCCGCGGAACUUCCAGCGAAGGCGGCGGACGUGGAGCACGCGAUCGCCGUCGACGGAGACCGACAUGCCGACCUCGGCCCUGUCCCGCUCCCGCCCCUGGCCCUGGGCGCGCGAGACGAGAUCCACCGAGAUCUCCCGCUCCCUGCCGCGCACGACGACGCAGGUGCGGUGGCAGCGGCCGCCACCGCCGGCGCCGUCGCGCAUGGACACGUGCUCGCGGCGCGAGACGAGGACGGGGCCCGGUCCCGCCGGGCGGCGCGCCCUGGUCUUCCUGUAGGCCUCGUCCGCCAUGUCCCCGGCGACGACCGCCAUCUCGCCGUCCACCACGACGGCGACGAAGUACCCCGACGAGGGCUCCGGGGAGCCCGAGGGCGGGAAGCGCGCGCGAGAGAGGUCCCAGGCCAGGUCCACGCGGCGGUCCCGCACGCGGAAGCGCUUGGACCCGCGCCGCCGCCAAAGCAGCCACGGCCGCACGCGCACGGCCACCGUCGCCUCCUCCUCCUCGUCGUCGUACUCCACCUCGCCGUCGCCGUAGUCGGACGCCGACGGGGACGGCGCGGGCGCGGGGCCCGCCGAGACGCGGAGCACGGCGCGGAGGCUGAGCCCGAGCGGGGCGCGCGACCAGGACAGCGUGGCCAGGCCGAGGCGCGUGUCGUAGACGGACGUGGCCAGGCUGGUCCCCGCCCCGGAGCCGGACCCCGACCCCGAUGGCGCGGGCGACGCCCGGCCACUGGGCGCCGCCGCGGCGCGGAAGCAGGCCGGAAUCGCGUCGGGCAUCGCGCGCUCUCCUUCUGCCUGCCCCCCUUUGCACUUGGGGAUGGAGGGGGUGAUGAAUGGCAAUGGAAACUUGAGUUUCCGCUGAAACCGCAGGCGUUUUGGUUUAUUUUCUUUUUUUCCUUUUUGCCGGCACGGUUGGUUCGCCCUCGCGCCGGUUGGAGUUGGACUUGGACCGACCAGGCAGAGGCGGGGGUGUUACAUAUAACUCUGACGAGGUGGAGCGUUGGUGCCGCUGUGGCUCGCGCGUUGGACUGGACCCAGCCAGCUGGGGCCUGGGGUGCGAGCGGCGACACCGACCGCCGCUACUACGGGGUUUCCUCCGACGCUGGUUCUGAUCGAGUUUCCG